GCGGGCGGAGAGAGCGGCGCCCCUGCCGCCGUAGCGGCCCCUGGCGGCAGGAGGAGCGACAGCCGCGGGGGCGAGCCGGGGCCAGGGCGGCGGUUUGGGGCAACUCAGGGAGGCCUGGGGCAACUGCAGCUGCCUGAGAGGAGACUGGAGUGAGGCCUUCGACAGCGAGGGUGGCAAUUCCCGAAGAUGAACCCCCUGGUAGCGAUGGAGCAGAGACGAGUGAGCCUGAGAACUGGUUGGUAUUUUCGGCAUCCCCAGAGCCGGUUGGAAUUUCGGCAUCUCCCGUCGCGGGUGAGCCCUGUGCUCUGUUACGGAACUGAAUCCCUGGCUGUGGUUGAGCAGGCGCUGCCAUAGAUCCAGCUCUUGGCGACAGCGACACUUCAAAGCCUCGGCGCUAUUUUCGCCGCGGUGGCUCGGGCUCCGGGCGAGCCGGGCGGUGCCUCCGCCUGUGGUAUCCCGGGAGAGGGCAGCAAGAGCCCGCCGGUGUCGGGUGGAGGUUUUCCGGUGCUGGCAUUGGGCAGCUUCGUGUGAUGGAGGCAAUUCUGGAACUCCUUCCGAAGUGAUGUGUUAGCGCUCGCUCAAGUCUUGCCCCACAACAUCCUUCUUCCAUGACUAAAAGCGGAAACCCACCGGGAGGGGAGCGGAGAAUUCUUUGCUCUGCUUUCCCUGCGGGCAGAGCAGGGCACGUUUGAUACUUCCUACAUUCCUGCAGGAGACAGUGAGAAUCCUUCAUCCUCAUUCUGAGCAGCAUCUCUCAUCGUGCUGAAGCACGGCCAGUAACUUUGGCUGCUCUAGAAUAUCAAGUCUUCGGGGGUGCAAGACAUGAGAUUAACGGUUUAUGUGUUUUCUGACUUCGGAGUCCUUAGAGCACCCUCAGAUAAUUUUUCUCCAAGCUCCUCCCUAAAAUCUAAAAUCUAGCAUGAAAUCAGAAAGGCAGUAAGACCCACAGUUGAUAACUCCGCUGAAUGAAGACCUUGGGUUGUCAAGUUGCACUUUUUGUGCCUUGGUGUCAAUGGCAACCUGGUCUCUUGCAAUUUCACCCCCUUUGAAGCCCCUGCUGCAUCUGCCUUUCAGGUGUCAGCUUCCAGAAUGGUUUUAUGUUCCCAACAUGGCAAUUUAUCCACUGGUCAACUUGGAGCUCUGCUCUGCAGAGCCCACAAAGCUGUCUCUCAUGCUUGUUAUUACUUACAAAAGCCAGUAGUCAUUUGAUGAAGUGAGUCCACUGUCUUUAAUAAUCCCUUUUUGGCUUUUUCCUUCCAACUGAGUAAUACAAAACUUGCUUUGCCUAGGAUAAUCCAUAGGCAUGGAUGUUGGGCAACGAAAAUGCAGAAGGAUGUGAUUGUGUUGGACCAAGAGAAUAAAAGUUUAAAUUCAGUGUUA